rnacentral:rRNA from 1 species
UACGUAGGGUGCGAGCGUUGUCCGGAAUUAUUGGGCGUAAAGAGCUUGUAGGCGGUUUGUCGCGUCUGCUGUGAAAAUCCGGGGCUCAACCCCGGACUUGCAGUGGGUACGGGCAGACUAGAGUGUGGUAGGGGAGACUGGAAUUCCUGGUGUAGCGGUGAAAUGCGCAGAUAUCAGGAGGAACACCGAUGGCGAAGGCAGCUUACUACACGAUCAUUGACGCUGAGGCACGAAAGCGUGGGGAGCAAACAGG